CGAUAAAUAAUGGGGACCAUUGUGCCAGUGACUUAAACGUCCAAUGGAAAGACAAAGAAAGGCUGCAUGUCACGAUCCUGCAGGCAGAACACGAUGAGGAGCCUGACAGUGCUGAUCCACAGCCUGGGUCACUGCAGAGGGGCCAUGAAGGUCUUGCUGCAGGUCUUCUUCUGGACAGGAAGAAGCAAUGAAGCUACCUACAUGCAAUGUCUUUCAACUGGCUUCAUUUUUUCCAAUUGACAUACUUGAUGCACAUCUCAUGUGUUUAUUCUUAAACAAGUGUGCACUUUUAGAUAAUCACAAAUACAAC
ensembl:lncRNA